UUGCAGCAUCAGCUCAGGUGAGCAGACAGAAGAGAGAAAGAGAAAGAGGGGGAGUGAAGGGAAGGUAAACAGACACGAGGAGAAAUCAUCUGUAAACAACUCGCGUGGUUGCAGUAACUGGCACACGAGUGUGGAUCCAUUCACAUUAUUUACCUGUUGACUCGCGUGGCAGACAAAGAAGGUGAUGGGACCUGAUGAAGAUUCAGUCUGGAAGAGGUCUGGAGAGAGCCAGAGGAAAUACAGAAACACAGACAGCAGAAACUGGUUAAUAAAGACGUACCGUAAUGCUCUUAGAGACAGU